GUNGGGGAUUAAUUUCCUUGGUAACGCAGNUAACGCGUGAAGUAGACCGCCUGGGGAGUACGGUCGCAAGAUUAAAACUCAAAGGAAUUGACGGGGACCCGCACAAGCGGUGGAUGAUGUGGAUUAAUUCGAUGCAACGCGAAAAACCUUACCUACGCUUGACAUGUCCGGAACCCUGAAGAGAUUUGGGGGUGCUCGAAAGAGAGCCGGAACACAGGUGCUGCAUGGCUGUCGUCAGCUCGUGUCGUGAGAUNNNNNNNNNANNNNCGCAACGAGCGCAACCCUUAUCAUUAGUUGCUACGCAAGGGCACUCUAAUGAGACUGCCGGUGACAAANCNGAGGAAGGUGGGGAUGACGUCAAGUCCUCAUGGCCCUUAUGUGUAGGGCUUCACACGUCAUACAAUGGUCGGUACAGAGGGUUGCGAAGCCGCGAGGUGGAGCCAAUCCCAAAAAACCGAUCGUAGUCCGGAUUGCAGUCUGCAACUCGACUGCAUGAAGUCGGAAUCGCUAGUAAUCGCGGAUCAGCAUGCCGCGGUGAAUACGUUCCCGGGU
rnacentral:rRNA from 1 species